rnacentral:rRNA from 1 species
CGGACGGGUGAGUAAUGUCUGGGAAACUGCCUGAUGGAGGGGGGUAACUACUGGAAACGGUAGCUAAUACCGCAUAACGUCGCAAGACCAAGAGGGGGACCUUAGGGCCUCUUGCCAUCGGAUGUGCCCAGAUGGGAUUAGCUAGUAGGUGGGGUAACGGCUCACCUAGGCGACGAUCCCUAGCUGGUCUGAGAGGAUGACCAGCCACACUGGAACUGAGACACGGUCCAG